rnacentral:rRNA from 1 species
AGUGAACGCUGGCGGUAGGCCUAACACAUGCAAGUCGAACGGCAGCACAGUAAUAGCUUGCUCUUACGGUUGGCGAGUGGCGGACGGGUGAGGAAUACAUCGGAAUCUACUUUUUCGUGGGGGAUAACGUAGGGAAACUUACGCUAAUACCGCAUACGACCUACGGGUGAAAGCAUGGGAUCUUCGGACCUUGCGCGAUUGAAUGAGCCGAUUUCGGAUUAGCUAGUUGGCGGGGUAAAGUCCCACCAAGGCGACGAUCCGUAGCUGGUCUGAGAGGAUGAUCAGACACACUGGAACUGAGACACGGUCCAGACUCCUACGGGAGGCAGCAGUGGGGAAUAUUGGACAAUGGGCGCAAGCCUGAUCCAGCCAUACCGCGUGGGUGAAGAAGGCCUUCGGGUUGUAAAGCCCUUUUGUUGGGAAAGAAAAGCAGCAGGUUAAUACCCCGCUGUUCUGACGGUACCCAAAGAAUAAGCACCGGCUAACUUCGUG